rnacentral:rRNA from 1 species
GACGAACGCUGGCGGCGUGCCUAAUACAUGCAAGUUGAGCGCUGAAGGUUGGUACUUGUACCGACUGGAUGAGCAGCGAACGGGUGAGUAACGCGUGGGGAAUCUGCCUUUGAGCGGGGGACAACAUUUGGAAACGAAUGCUAAUACCGCAUAAAAACUUUAAACACAAGUUUUAAGUUUGAAAGAUGCAAUUGCAUCACUCAAAGAUGAUCCCGCGUUGUAUUAGCUAGUUGGUGAGGUAAAGGCUCACCAAGGCGAUGAUACAUAGCCGACCUGAGAGGGUGAUCGGCCACAUUGGGACUGAGACACGGCCCAAACUCCUACGGGAGGCAGCAGUAGGGAAUCUUCGGCAAUGGACGAAAGUCUGACCGAGCAACGCCGCGUGAGUGAAGAAAGUUUUCGGAUCGUAAAACUCUGUUGGUAGAGAAGAACGUUGGUGAGAGUGGAAAGCUCAUCAAGUGACGGUAACUACCCAGAAAGGGACGGCUAACUACGUG